rnacentral:rRNA from 1 species
GUGGGGAAUAUUGGACAAUGGGCGAAAGCCUGAUCCAGCCAUGCCGCGUGUGUGAAGAAGGUCUUCGGAUUGUAAAGCACUUUAAGUUGGGAGGAAGGGCAGUAAGUUAAUACCUUGCUGUUUUGACGUUACCAACAGAAUAAGCACCGGCUAACUUCGUGCCAGCAGCCGCGGUAAUACGAAGGGUGCAAGCGUUAAUCGGAAUUACUGGGCGUAAAGCGCGCGUAGGGGGUUUUGUAAGUUGGAGGUGAAAUCCCCGGGCUCAACCUGGGAACUGCCUCCAAAACUGCAUGACUAGAGUACGGUAGAGGGUAGUGGAAUUUCCUGUGUAGCGGUGAAAUGCGUAGAUAUAGGAAGGAACACCAGUGGCGAAGGCGACUACCUGGACUGAUACUGACACUGAGGUGCGAAAGCGUGGGGAGCAAACAGGAUUAGAUACCCGAGUAGUCC